GAUGAACGCUGGCGGCGUGCCUAAUACAUGCAAGUAGAACGCUGAAGGAAGGAGCUUGCUCUUUCCGGAUGAGUUGCGCACGGGUGAGUAACGCGUAGGUAACCUGCCUGGUAGCGGGGGAUAACUAUUGGAAACGAUAGCUAAUACCGCAUAACAGUAGAUGUUGCAUGAUAUCUACUUAAAAGGUGCAAUUGCACCACUACCAGAUGGACCUGCGUUGUAUUAGCUAGUUGGUGAGGUAACGGCUCACCAAGGCGACGAUACAUAGCCGACCUGAGAGGGUGAUCGACCACACUGGGACGGAGACACGGCCCAGACGACUACGGGAGGCAGCAGUAGGGAAUCUUCGGCAAUGGACGGAAGUCUGACCGAGCAACGCCGCGUGAGUGAAGAAGGUGUUCGGAUCGUAAAGCUCUGUUGUAAGAGAAGAACGAGUGUGAGAGUGGAAAGUGCACGCUGUGACGGUAUCUUACCAGAAAGGGACGGCUAACUACGU
rnacentral:rRNA from 1 species